rnacentral:rRNA from 1 species
CGGUGGGGUAAAGGCCUACCAAGACAAUGACGCAUAGCCGAGUAGAGAGAUUGAUUGGCCACAUGGGGCCUGAGACACGCCCCAAACUCUUACGGGAGGGUGCAGUAGGGAAUCUUCCACAAUGGGCGAAAGCCUGAUGGAGCAACGCCGCGUGUGUGAUGAAGGCUUUCGGGUCGUAAAGCACUGUUGUAUGGGAAGAACAGCUAGAAUAGGAAAUGAUUUUAGUUUGACGGUACCAUACCAGAAAGGGACGGCUAAAUACGUGCCAGCAGCCGCGGUAAUACGUAUGUCCCGAGCGUUAUCCGGAUUUAUUGGGCGUAAAGCGAGCGCAGACGGUUUAUUAAGUCUGAUGUGAAAGCCCGGAGCUCAACUCCGGAAUGGCAUUGGAAACUGG